rnacentral:rRNA from 1 species
AACGCGAAGAACCUUACCUGGGUUUGACAUGCACAGGACGCCGGCAGAGAUGUCGGUUCCCUUGUGGCCUGUGUGCAGGUGGUGCAUGGCUGUCGUCAGCUCGUGUCGUGAGAUGUUGGGUUAAGUCCCGCAACGAGCGCAACCCUUGUCUCAUGUUGCCAGCGGUUCGGCCGGGGACUCGUGAGAGACCGCCGGGGUCAACUCGGAGGAAGGUGGGGAUGACGUCAAGUCAUCAUGCCCCUUAUGUCCAGGGCUUCACACAUGCUACAAUGGCCGGUACAAAGGGCUGCGAUGCCGUGAGGUUAAGCGAAUCCUUUAAAGCCGGUCUCAGUUCGGAUCGGGGUCUGCAACUCGACCCCGUGAAGUCGGAGUCGCUAGUAAUCGCAGAUCAGCAACGCUGCGGUGAAUACGUUCCCGGGCCUUGUA